rnacentral:rRNA from 1 species
GACGAACGCUGGCGGCGUGCCUAAUACAUGCAAGUCGAACGCUUCUUUCCUCCCGAGUGCUUGCACUCAAUUGGAAAGAGGAGUGGCGGACGGGUGAGUAACACGUGGGUAACCUACCCAUCAGAGGGGGAUAACACUUGGAAACAGGUGCUAAUACCGCAUAACAGUUUAUGCCGCAUGGCAUAAGAGUGAAAGGCGCUUUCAGGUGUCGUUGAUGGAUGGACCCGCGGUGCAUUAGCUAGUUGGUGAGGUAACGGCUCACCAAGGCCACGAUGCAUAGCCGACCUGAGAGGGUGAUCGGCCACACUGGGACUGAGACACGGCCCAGACUCCUACGGGAGGCAGCAGUAGGGAAUCUUCGGCAAUGGACGAAAGUCUGACCGAGCAACGCCGCGUGAGUGAAGAAGGUGUUCGGAUCGUAAAACUCUGUUGUUAGAGAAGAACAAGGACGUUAGUAACUGAACGUCCCCUGACGGUAUCUAACCAGAAAGCCACGGCUAACUACGUG